GGGUCAGUAGGUUGGUCGUGCCACCGGUACGUACUGGUCUCACUGAUUCCUCCUUCCUGAAGAACCGUAAUGCCAUUAAUUUGGUGUUGCGGGGAAGCAGGACUGUUACUUUGAAAAAAUUAGAGUGUUUAAAGCAAGCUAACGCUUAAAUACAUUAGCAUGGAAUAAUGAAAUAGGACGAUCGAUCCUAUUUUGUUGGUUUCUAGGAUUGACGUA
rnacentral:rRNA from 1 species